UUCAUGGAUAACACAAUGAGCUAUUUGAGUUUUCUGGGAAAGAUGGGAACAAAUAUCCUUUGACCUCAGUAGGGAACAAUUGACAGAUCAGUGUAGCCAUUCCUCCAAAGUCCACCUCAGAGAGACAUGAGUUUAUGAAGUUACCACAGGAAUGUGUUUGACAGGUUAUUGCAGGAGCAUAAAUGACUCAAAGGCAACUGCAGCAUCAAAACCCCACACCUGAACUCCCAAAUUUGGUAUGGAACCUCUUCUCAUGGAUUUUUUAAGAAGCUAGGGAUUCCUGGACCCAAACCUCUGCCUUUUGUUGGGACGAUGCUUAACUAUAGGAGGCUCCAGAAGUAUUAUAAGGAAUCUGAUUAACAAAAUGGGCAGUUACACUAGUUGGGUGAUGGCCAAUGUGGAAGCAGCCUCUGACUUGAGAACUGUAAGUACUGCAAAAAAUAGUUAAAAUAAAAUCUAGACUUUUUUUUUUAGCACAAACCUGAUGUAGUUCAAUAAGAACACAUUGUGCAAAGUCACCAUACUUAAAGCAUCAUUACGAACCACAGCAAAGGAAGACAGUUAAAGUAAAAGAAGGCUCCCAUGAGCAAAGGCAUCUACACAGUUAGUGAGGAUGGAAGUAACACAUGUAAUUUUGAAGUGAUCACCCUUUCUUUAACAGAGGGACUCUCAGUCUGUUACGUGUAUUGAGGGUUAAGACAAGCAGUGAGGUCAAAUAUAAAAUGAUAUGCAUUUUCUCUAAAAAUUCUGUAGGUCACCCCAUUAUCUAGGACAGUGGUUCACAGCCUAAUGUCUUGUUCAUCUGAAGAUAGUGUAAAUAAACAGUGGCCAAUGAGAGGAUUCUAGGAAGUUAUCUUCAUCCAGACCAGGUGAGCACCACUAAGACAAGUCAACCAGCUCCUCAGAUCAUCCAUUCAGAGGCGAGAGGUUCUUUAGAAUCAUGGAACAAGCCACUCAAUUGGAAUUCCAUUCUGAAUCAGGGCACAGGAAAAUCACUGCAUUCUUGGAAAUGUCCAUCCAAAGGGGUAACUUAU